GAUGAACGCUGGCGGCGUGCCUAAUACAUGCAAGUCGAGCGAACGGACGAGAAGCUUGCUUCUCUGAUGUUAGCGGCGGGCGGGUGAGUAACACGUGGAUAACCUACCUAUAAGACUGGGAUAACUUCGGGAAACCGGAGCUAAUACCGGAUAAUAUUUUGAACCGCAUGGUUCAAAAGUAAAAGACGGUCUUGCUGUCACUUAUAGAUGGAUCCGCGCUGCAUUAGCUAGUUGGUAAGGUAACGGCUUACCAAGGCAACGAUGCAUAGCCGACCUGAGAGGGUGAUCGGCCACACUGGAACUGAGACACGGUCCAGACUCCUACGGGAGGCAGCAGUAGGGAAUCUUCCGCAAUGGGCGAAAGCCUGACGGAGCAACGCCGCGUGAGUGAUGAAGGUCUUCGGAUCGUAAAACUCUGUUAUUAGGGAAGAACAUAUGUGUAAGUAACUGUGCACAUCUUGACGGUACCUAAUCAGAAAGCCACGGCUAACUACGUG
rnacentral:rRNA from 1 species